GUUUCUUUGACCUCCUUCUUGGCUUCCUUCACCUUGGCCUUCCCUUGUUUUGGCUUCAUAAAGCAAAAGCAGGAGCAGCAGGGGCACUGGAACAAGAACUUCAUUGCCUGGUCACUGCUUAGAUCUCAGAUUGGUGGAGACAAGAAGGGUAUUUGCUUGCAGCUUCUCUCUUUCUUCCAUAAUUUUGUGCUAUUUAAUUCCCUUAAUUUACUCUUUACUGCCUUUUCUUUAUCCAGCAGUGUCCAUUGGAUUCCACUAGUGUCACUUUCAAUGUAGUGCCAGCUCUUGAGUGAGAGUGUAUGUGUGAGUGAGAGGUAGUUGAGCAUGGACUAGGCUAGCCAUGUUGGAAAAAUGGGGUUACUAGUCCCAUUUCUUGUUUCUUUGUGGGUCAUCAACACCAUUCUAAUGGAAUAGGUAUGCACCCAUAUGAGUUAUAAUUUGAGUUCAAACAAGAGGGUUUUAUCAUCAUCAUUAUUAUUAUUUUAAUAAAUUUUUAAGUAUAUUUUUAAUUUAAGUAUCUAUUAAAAAAUUAUUAUAUUAAACAUUCAAAGUAUCUUUUAUUUUGUUUAAUAUUUCGUUAUUUGAUAAAUAAAUGGUUAAAUAUAUUUUUAUUUUUUACUUUCAUGUAAAAUUAGAUUUUAUCUUUAGUUAAAACUUUAAAAAUUUAGUGAAUAAUUUUAAUAAGGAAACUAUUAAAAUGUGUUAUGUAAAUUUUGUGUUUUAUUAAAUACUCAUUUUAAUAAUUUUCUUAAUACAAAUUCAAAAAAUCUAAAAUUUGAAUUAGGCAAACGCGUUAUAACACAAAAAUAUAUUUAAUCUAUUUAAAAAUUUAAAGUAAAAAAAUUAGUUAAUUCACAUAUUAAAUACGAGAAAACAAAAAUAAUGGUUAUAUCAUUCUACAAUAUUUUACAAUACUUAGAUGAAAAUUAACAUUUAAUAAAAUAAAUAUUUUAAUAAAACUCAAUUCAAAAUAUAUAAAUUUAUAAUAUAUUUAAAAUUUAAUUAUAAUUUAUUGUUAUAUUCUUUUGCUAGUAACUUGUUAGGUACAUGAAUAUGAUGAAGAGUGUGGAGAGAUGGGAGAAAAUGGGCUGUUACAAGCCUAUUAUUAUUAUUGGAUAUCUUUAUUUUAAUCUCAUGAAAGUCAUAAGUUUGGCCCCACAAGGAGACACAAGGUACAACAUAAAAAAAAUGUCUUCCAUAGAUUUGAGAUGGAAGGUGCAUGAUUUUAUUGACUUUGGCUCUUUAGUCACAUGCACACCAAUAUAUCUUGUUUUCUUCUUUAGGCUCCUAGUGGCAAAAUAGUGUACACAGAUCAAGUAGAGGGAGGGGAAAUUAAUUGGAAAAUAUUUCAAAUAUAAUUAAAUUAAGGUUUUGUUAUAGAUAUUUUAAAUAUAAUGAAUUUAUAAAAUUAAUUAGUAAUAAAAUUAGAAAUUUAAUUAUUGAUUUAAAUUAGUGAUUUGAAUGAAUUAAAUUAAUUUAUUAACUUAAUUAUAUAAAAUUGAAAUAAUAUAUAUAUAUAUAUUUAGGAAAUUCAAUUUCUUGUCCAUGUUCAUUUGCAAUUAUUAAUUUCUAGUUGACUUUCUCACCGGUGGACUUGCGUGGAAAGCUCCUCUCCUUACCUGUCUCCUCUAGAUUAUGUUAUGCGUUUUCUCGUUACACUAGAACAUGGUUCUAUUGGGAUAGAGGGGGUUCUACCUGUUGAUCACACUCCGACGAUCAUGUCAGUGAGAACAUACAAAAUAAGGUAAAUAUUCAGUUUCAGUCUAGUAUUUAGAAACAGCGUAUCUUUACUAAGUGUCUCAAGCCCUUUUUAUAACUAUCUCUUUAACAACUCUCUCUUAAGAGAAUAUAAUCUCAACUGAAAGCAUAAGAAAAAUAAUAUUUUGCCUAUGGGCACCUUUACUCACGGUGCUAACUUACAGAAAAGAAUCUCGUGCACCUUUAUUCUCGAGUGCUCACCAUUUAACCAAUAUCACCCUAUAUUCCAUUAACAACUCUAUGCACAUAUUUAUUUACCAACAACUCUACGUAUAUUCACAUAUAUUUUAUUCUAAUAGCUUAUUGAAUAUAUUUACGUAUAUAUUUAACUAAUAAUCUUAUAUCAACAUACAACCAACAUGUUAUUUUCUCUAUUUAAAUUAUUCUCAACCAGGCCUACUAAUAUAACUAGGCCAAACUCAUGACCCACCAUUUGCGCCCAAUAGCCGAGCUGACCUACCCACGCGCUCAAACCGAGGUCUCGAGAUCCCGAGCACUCCUUCCCGGUACACAAGCCCCAAGCUCUAGUUGAGCUUGGCUAAUCGAAGAGGCUUUCGAGUGCUUUAGCGACUGACAAGAUAGUUUUUUAGUGGGUAGAUGUGGCACGGUGCAUGAAGUGUUUCUGAGGUGAUGUCUCACCACACUCAAUCCCAAGCGUACACGUGGCACCUCCAUCAACGGUGGGAAAGCAUUUCCAUUUGAUACAGACCACAACAACCAGCAGAUCACAAAAAAUUUAGUCAUCUUAGUAUACAAAGUCGAGCCCCACCAAACCUCGAGAAAGCAUUCGCUGAAGAAGAACCAGCUAUAAACCGGAAUAUCAGAAGUUCUUCCUUCUGAUCUUUCCAUAAGAGAAAAGUUAUGUGAAUAAAUUGGGCUCCCUUUAGGGGUUCAAAUAGAAAAUAGGCUAAGAGUAAGUCCAUAUAGCAUAAUAGGAGGGGUAUUUUUAUCAAAUUGGGCUUAUGACAAGUUCAUUAGGGUUAGAAGGUAGUCCUAACUUCUAGAAGCUAGGACUAAGGGGCGACAUUGACUUAGGCAAUGACCUAGCUACCCCCCUCUUCAUGACUUUUAUGCCCCUCCCCAACUUGCCCACCAAGGCACCCAUUCCUAUAAAUAGGGUGCCUUGCCUCAUGUAUGGACACAUCAGAAAUUUGAAGUAAAGAAGCUUUGCUUGAGUGAAUUUGUAAGUCCGAGUACUUUCAGUUUUAUUUGGGUCUUAUCUUGAGUGAGUGAUAUCUCAACUGGCGGCUCUUGCACCACUCAUCUUAGAGUUCAUCUACUCCAAGUGGCGUGACAUCUUCCAUUCCAUAAGUUUCCUCUAUCUCUUCAUCUUUUCCCUUUUUAAUUCCUUUUGCUUCCUUCUUGUGCCAUCUUCAUCUCAUCUUCAUUAUAUUAUCUUUAUUUAAUUUUGGUCCAUAUCUUGUCAUCUUCAUCUUGUUGUCUAUUUUUUUCGCCCUCUUUGCAUCAUAUAUUUGUGUUUUUCUCUUUGCCUUUCUGAAGUGAACCUUCAUACUUACUUAACCACUUGGUUAAGUUUGUGUGCAAUGGGAAUCUUUUUAGGGUUCUCACCUUUAAUUUGCUAAUCCACAAAUUCUAAACAAAAGUGAAACCUUUAAAAUGUGCAAUCUAAAAUCAACUCACAUAAUGUGGUAAUCAGAGAAAGGUUCAAUUUUUGCUUAUAUUGCUAAGUUGAUAUUCUGCCUUUAAAUUUCCUACACAUUUUAAAUUUUGCUUUUACCUUCAAGCAAUUUAAUUUUUGCUUUACAAUUCCACUUUUCAUUCAUUAAGCACUUUAAUUUUCACUUUUCGAAUUUCGUUUUGCAUAAAAAAAAAAUUCUUACUGCUUUUACUUGCGUCUGGUGUUCUUAGUGUUAUAAGAGUCUUACUGCUAUUCUUCUUAUUUUCAUUUUAAUUGUGAAGAACUAAAACCACAUUAAGUUGUUUGAGUAACGGUUGAUUUAAUUCAAAACAUAGAAUACAAGCGCUCAUAUGAAUUGAAUCCCAACGUCUUCUUCUUUUCAAAAAAAAUUGAAAAAUGCAUUCCAACUGCAUGAACGAAAUCAUCUAAAAAUUUGCAUCCAUCAAAUUAGAACAAAAAAAACAACAAAUUGUUUGGAUUACAUUCACUUUCCAAAUUUCAAUUACAAAAUGGUGUUCUAAUUAUAUGAAAAUUUGUUUUUGUAAUUGUGGAGUUUAAUCCCACUUGCUUUCUCAAUUUCUAAGAACUUUCAUCUCUUCAUAAUUAAAGUUUAAGUAAGUUUCUUUGCAUCUUUUUCGUGCUUUCCUUGUUUGUCUUGUUCAAAGUUUUGUCUUCACCUUAUUUCCAUUUUGGUUUAGCUUUCAUUGUUUUAAGCUUUCUCUUGCUUGCAAUUGUCUUUCCUUUUUUCUUAAGUUUUGUUGAGGGCUUUUUGGUGAGCAAGUGUAAGAGCUUUAUAAUCUUUCACUUGAGGUGUUGCUACAAGUGUAGAUCCUUUUGAGGGAGUAUCUUUCUUGAGUGAUACACGUGAGUUCAAUUUUAAACUGUUUAUUUUAACUAACCGUUUGCUUUGUUUGUGCAAAUUUUAAUGACUCAUUUCUCUUCAGGGGAGUCUUCCAAGCCUCAAUCCCCUCAGAAGGCACAUUUUAUGGGGGAAUUAGUCGAAGCCCAAAAAAGUU
rnacentral:lncRNA from 1 species